GACAUAGGGGGCAAGCGUUGUCCGGAAUUACUGGGCGUAAAGCGAGCGUAGGCGGUUUAUUAAGUUAAGUGUGAAAGCCUGGGGCUCAACCCCAGAACUGCACUUAAUACUGGUAAACUAGAGUGUUGGAGAGGUAAGUGGAAUUCCUAGUGUAGCGGUAGAAUGCGUAGAUAUUAGGAGGAACAUCAGAGGCGAAGGCGACUUACUGGACAACAACUGACGCUGAGGUUCGAAAGCGUGGGGAGCAAAC
rnacentral:rRNA from 1 species